rnacentral:rRNA from 1 species
AGAGAGAGACAUGCGCGCAUAUCAAUAAGCGGAGGAAAAGAAACUAACAAGGAUUCCCCUAGUAACGGCGAGUGAAGCGGGAAGAGCUCAAAUUUGAAAUCUUAAAGGGUUUCCCUUUACGAAUUGUAGUUUAAAGAAGUGUUUUCUGUUGAGGUUUUGGUAAAAGUUCUUUGGAAUAGGACAUCAUAGAGGGCGAGAAUCCCGUAUUUGACCUUUACUUUCAACUUUGUGAUACACUUUCAAAGAGUCGGAUUGUUUGGGAAUGCAGUCCAAAAUGGGUGGUAAAUUUCAUCUAAAGCUAAAUAUUGGCGAGAGACCGAUAGCGAACAAGUACCGUGAGGGAAAGAUGAAAAGAACUUUGAAAAGAGAGUUAAACAGUACGUGAAAUUGUCAAAAGGGAAGCGUUUGACACCAGUGUUGUUUUUCUGAAAAUCAAUUAAAGAACUGUUUAUGCUAAGUUGUUUAGACUUUAUCAGCUAAUCUGUUUAGUUUUGAGCUUUUCUUUAAUGCACUUUUCAGUUAACAAGUCAACAUCAAUUUCUUUUGCUGUAAAAAAGCUUGAGGAAGGUGGCUUGAGAUUCGUCUUAAGUGUUUAUAGCCUCUUGCCUAUGCAGUCGGAGAGAUUGAGGUCUGCAGCGUAGAUCCUUCGGGGCUAAAUGCAUUUGUGCUAAGUUAUAGCAUUUUAUAGACAACUUGUUGACUAUGAUUUGUCUUGUAGCUUACUCGCUUAUGUUAUUUUACCUACGCUUAGGAUGUUGACGCAUGAGAUAUACGC